rnacentral:rRNA from 1 species
UACAGAGGUGGCAAGCGUCGUUCGGAAUUACUGGGCGUAAAGGGCGCGUAGGCGGUUCGAUAAGUCCCGUGUGAAAUCCCUCGGCUCAACUGAGGAACUGCACGGGAGACUGUCGGGCUUGAGUUCGGGAGAGGGAAGCGGAAUUCCGGGUGUAGCGGUGAAAUGCGUAGAUAUCCGGAGGAACACCGGUGGCGAAGGCGGCUUCCUGGACCGACACUGACGCUGAGGCGCGAAAGCUAGGGGAGCAAACGGG